rnacentral:tRNA from 1 species
CGUUGUGAAGCUACUUAGCAUUAACCUUUUAAGUUAAAGAUAGAGAAUCUUCACUCUCCACAACGA